rnacentral:rRNA from 1 species
UUGAACGCUGGCGGCAGGCCUAACACAUGCCCGUCGAGCGGAUGAAGGGAGCUUGCUCCUGGAUUCAGCGGCGGACGGGUGAGUAAUGCCUAGGAAUCUGCCUGGUAGUGGGGGAUAACGUCCGGAAACGGGCGCUAAUACCGCAUACGUCCUGAGGGAGAAAGUGGGGGAUCUUCGGACCUCACGCUAUCAGAUGAGCCUAGGUCGGAUUAGCUAGUUGGUGGGGUAAAGGCCUACCAAGGCGACGAUCCGUAACUGGUCUGAGAGGAUGAUCAGUCACACUGGAACUGAGACACGGUCCAGACUCCUACGGGAGGCAGCAGUGGGGAAUAUUGGACAAUGGGCGAAAGCCUGAUCCAGCCAUGCCGCGUGUGUGAAGAAGGUCUUCGGAUUGUAAAGCACUUUAAGUUGGGAGGAAGGGCAGUAAGUUAAUACCUUGCUGUUUUGACGUUACCAACAGAAUAAGCACCGGCUAACUUCGUG